UACGUAGGCAGCAAGCGUUGUUCGGAGUUACUGGGCGUAAAGGGUGUGUAGGCGGUUCUUUAAGUUUGGUGUGAAAUCUCCCGGCUUAACCGGGAGGGUGCGCCGAAUACUGAGGGACUAGAGUACGGGAGAGGAAAGUGGAAUUCCUGGUGUAGCGGUGAAAUGCGUAGAUAUCAGGAGGAACACCGGUGGCGAAGGCGGUUUCCUGGCCCAGUACUGACGCUGAGGCACGAAAGCGUGGGGAGCGAACGGG
rnacentral:rRNA from 1 species